rnacentral:rRNA from 1 species
CGCUGGCGGCGUGCUUAACACAUGCAAGUCGAGCGGAAAGGCCCUUUCGGGGGUACUCGAGCGGCGAACGGGUGAGUAACACGUGAGUAAUCUGCCCUUGGCUUUGGGAUAACUACCGGAAACGGUGGCUAAUACCGGAUAUGACCAUGCUCGGCAUCGGGUGUGGUGGAAAGUUUUUUCGGCCAGGGAUGUGCUCGCGGCCUAUCAGCUUGUUGGUGGGGUAAUGGCCUACCAAGGCUUCGACGGUAGCCGGCCUGAGAGGGUGACCGGCCACACUGGGACUGAGACACGGCCCAGACUCCUACGGGAGGCAGCAGUGGGGAAUAUUGGACAAUGGGCGGAAGCCUGAUCCAGCAACGCCGCGUGAGGGAUGACGGCCUUCGGGUUGUAAACCUCUUUCAGUACCGACGAAGCGCCGAUGAUGGUGGUGACGGUAGGUACAGAAGAAGCACCGGCCAACUACGUG